AUUCCAUCAGUGGGAGAAUGGAUAUACAAAUCAUAGAAAGUUAAUAAAAUGACAAAAUACAAUAUUAAGCAGUGAAAUACUGUUCCAUUCACCAACAUGGAUGAAACUCAAACAAUACUACAUGAGUGAAAGAAGUCAGAUACAAAAGAUCACCUUGUGUGUGAUUCCAUCUAUGGAAAGUCCAAGAACAAUUAGAAUUACUGACAGUGAUUAGGAUGGUGGCAGCCUCUAGGGUUGGGGAUUGAGGAUAUGAAAGAUGUAAUAGGCACAAGGGAAAUUUCUAUCAUGAAAACAAGUAGUGACCUAGACUGGGGUGUUAGUUUCAUGGGUGUAACCUGCCACAAGUUGACAAAUAAUAUACUUAAGAUAUGUGAAUACCAAUGUGUAUAUUGAACUUUAAAGUGUUUCAUAAUUGAAAAAAAAACAAACUAAAAAUAGAGAAAAGUAAAGCCACUAAGGCAAAAAGUACAUUAAAAAAAUUAUUCAUUCUUCACUUGAAUCAGCUUCAUUGUUGUCCUGUUUAAAAUUUGUCAUAUGUGUGCAGGUAGGUUCCGGGUGGAACACUAUGGGGUUCUCAGCAAUGUGUUGUAGUCUGUUGUAGCUAUAGCUACCCAGUGGAACUCUGUGGGGGACAUCAGUGCCACAGAGGUAAUGUGAAUAAUCAUAGACCUUGGCUUUCAGUUAAUGAUGGGGAAUUCACUAGAAGUGGUAGCAGAGCUACUUCCAGAUGACACGAGGCCUAGCCUUGUCUAUAGUAGCCUCCAAAAGGAGUCAGUGAUGUGGGUUUCUUUCAUUGGAUUUUUGCUCUGAUCCAAAGUAAUUUUGAUAUUGAGUCAUCUUUAGAAGAUACCAGCCUUAAAGAAAGAGUCAUCAAAAAUACGGAGCCUGAUGGACACACAGGGAAAGUUGAAGAGGACCAACUUAAUCCUAAAGGAAGAAAUAACUUCUCUAGUAAAAGAAGAAAAUCUAGAGAGAUGCAGACACUCAAUGCAAGUGGAGAUCUUCUGAUCAGUCACCAGAAGAUAACUUAGGAGUCACCCUAUUACAAGGUUUCCCAAACACCGAAGUGGCUGGGAGCCUGGGACCUUCUGCACCUCACCAAAAUUCUGAAAGAAGAUCUCUUCAUUUUCCUCCACUUAGAACUUUGUGCUACCUUGUCUGUUCAUCAGUUGUCUGUGCUUCUGGGAAGAACUUAAGAGUUCUCUGCACUCUUCAUGCCCUGGAGUUCAUUUGUCCACCAUCACAUUCUGAAAUUGGAUCUGAGUAGUUUUCAGGGUUAAUUCAAACUUCAAAUGAGCCAACUAUUGGACAUUCAGAAAUGAAUCAAGAAAUUUGGAACUUUUUAAAAAAUUGUCUCUCUUCAAAGGGAAUUUUAAUCUCAUUCAUUAUUUUAAGAACUGAUGGUACUUGAGGAAACAGACUUGUGCUCAAAAUAAAGCUGGAUGGAGCAUAGUUCAGCAUAAUAUUUUGUAAUGUUAUUUUUAGAUAAAUUAUAUAAACAAAUUAUUAUAUUUUAUUUGUAUCUCUAUACCUUAUAUAUUGUAUUUUGUUUAAUAUCUACAGUGUAGCAAAAAAAAGACAUUUAAAAUGCAAUGGUAAUUUUUGUUUGACUAGAUCUGUAUUUACUUCAGCUAUACAUAAGUGAAAAGUGAUUUUUUUCUCCUUAAUAAAUAGUUGCUUAGUUAAAAAAUAUUAAAUGAACACAGCAUAUAUCCUAACCGUGGGUUAUUGUAAAGUGAUAUAGAGGGCAUUUUAUAGCAUGUAAUAUAUCCAGUUGAUAAAAAUAGCAUAAAGGUCUGUAUUCAAUAAGAAUAAAGGCUAAAAUAGACAAAGAACAAGACCCCUAAUUUAUAGUGCUUUUACAGAAGCUUUUAAUAAUCCCAUUUACCAAUAUAUUUAAUUUAGAACCUCUAGACAUUGAACUAGGUAUCAGCAUAUUGUAAAACUCUCUUGUUCAUCUUCAUGUGUGGCCAAAUUUAAGGACCACUGAUGGUUUGCAGAUCAUUAUAACGUAACUUAUUUCAUCCAAACCCAUGUAAAACCUACCUUACAGCUAUUUUGUCUUAAUUAUAUACAGAAUACAUCAAAACAAAAAAAUUCCACAUAAAUAAAAUACAAAAAGCAUUGUUAACAAAGUAUUUCCUUAUAAAUUGAUAAAUAAUGAGAUAAUAUGAUAUAAUAGAAGAUCAAACUGUGAUUAGGAGAUAUACUUAUGAAUCUAUUAGUAAAUUAGCUGGUAUGGAAUGAUUUGAUUCUUAUUUCAACUUCAGUUUCAUUAUUUAUAAAAUAAAAGAUUGCAUAUAAA